UACGAAGGGGGCUAGCGUUGCUCGGAAUGACUGGGCGUAAAGGGCGCGUAGGCGGCUUGCACCGUCAGAUGUGAAAUUCCUGGGCUUAACCUGGGGGCUGCAUUUGAUACGUGUGGGCUUGAGUGCGGAAGAGGGUCGUGGAAUUCCCAGUGUAGAGGUGAAAUUCGUAGAUAUUGGGAAGAACACCGGUGGCGAAGGCGGCGACCUGGUCCGUGACUG
rnacentral:rRNA from 1 species